rnacentral:rRNA from 1 species
AGAGCGAACGUUAGCGGCGGGCCUAACACAUGCAAGUCGUACGAGAAAGGGGCUUCGGCCCUGAGUAAAGUGGCGCACGGGUGAGUAACACGUGGGUAAUCUGCCGUUCGAUGGGGGAUAGCUACCCGAAAGGGUAAUUAAUACCGCAUACGUCGGAACGGUCUACGGACUGUUCCGGGAAAGCCGACCUCUCCAUGGAAGUUGGCGUCGAAUGAGGAACCCGCGGCCCAUCAGCUAGUUGGCAGGGUAAUGGCCCACCAAGGCUUAGACGGGUAGCUGGUCUGAGAGGAUGAUCAGCCACACUGGGACUGAGACACGGCCCAGACUCCUACGGGAGCAGCAGUGGGGAAUAGUUGGGCAAGUGGGCGCGAAAGCCUGACCCCAGCCACGCCGCGUGAGUGAUGAAGGCCGUUCGGUCGUAAAGCUCUGGUGGGAGAGAACGAAAAACGGUUGGACUAAUAUCCAACGGACUAGACGGUAUCCUCC